CAAACACAGCCCCGAACCCCUCCCUUUUGAUUUUCUUCUUCCUCAGCCGCCGAACACAAGCCUCACCCUUCAGCCUCCCUGCACACAGACCUUCACCUUCCCCGCUCACAGUUUUUCUCCCUUCUCUCUCCAAGCCACAGCCGCCACAUUUUUGUCUCCUCCGGUCGUAUCAACAGCAACCGGCCAACGAACAGAGCUCAUCACAGCAGCAGCCGAGCUCCUCCCUCACAGAUCGAACCAUCCGGCCUCCCUUCCAUUCAGCCAUCAGCAACAGCCCCACAGAUUCACCGUCGCCCUCUGAACAUUGCAGCGCCGCC
rnacentral:lncRNA from 1 species